GAGAUGCCUCAGAGGCCCGUCGCUCCGCUAUGUGAGUCACAGACAGGAAGUUCCCCGUCGAGCACACAGACAGACAAACUGCUGCCGAGUGUAACUGCUGCCCGAGAAAAAUGAAAGCUCAGAUUUGGUUCCUGCUCUUCGCCUUCAUGGCGGUCGGACUUCAGGCGACGACUACCGCUCCCCAGGAGAGCCAAGUUCUCGAAGAGGAAGUGGCCAUGAUGGAGAUUAUGGGGGACGGUUGGACCGACUCUGAGCCGGAGACGAUGAUGACGAUUAAGCCUCAGAGGUUGUGAGAGGUCACGCGAGCCUUCUUCACCCGUCACGGGGAUGUGGUUCAGGCUGCCGCCGCGUGAAAUGGGUCUCCGGUUCGAUUCCCUUACCGCGCUUUCUUUUUACACACUGUUGCGCAACGUUAGACGCAUUCAGGCGGCUCCCUCUUUAAAUGCAAACUAUUCUUAUUGUUUAAAACAACUUGUUGUUGAGAAAUGACAUUUAAACCCUCGGUUCUCUGUCAUUAUUUUACUUAUAUUAAAAAAGGGUUAUUUUCUUUUUCUUUCUUUAUUUAGGGAUUGAUUAUUGUUCGUUUGAUUUUGUCAAACCUCAGGGUUGCUCUUUUUCUCCCUUAAUUAUUUACUUUCUUGGUUAUUUGUUUCAUCAUCGUUGUUACUUUGGAGCACAUUAAAAAAGCCAUGAUCUAAA